GGUUGACCUCGGAUCACGUAGGGAUACCCGC
rnacentral:rRNA from 1 species